GGCUCAAUGGUCUAGUGGUAUGAUUCGCGCUUCGGGAUAGACUCGUCUUCCCUUGCUUGGAAACAAACAAGCAACGAAGAUGUGCGAGGUCUCGGGUUCGAAUCCCGAUUGAGCCC